rnacentral:rRNA from 1 species
GGAUGCGAUCAUACCAGCACUAAAGCACCGGAUCCCAUCAGAACUCCGAAGUUAAGCGUGCUU